GUGAAUCAUCGAAUCUUUGAACGCACAUUGCGCUUCCUGGCAUUCCGGGGAGCAUGCCUGUUUCAGAAUCAUUAAAACCUCUCACCUACUAUUGUGUUUAAUGCCAAUAGCAUGGUGGAUUUUGAAUGUUUUCGAAAUUUAUUUUGAAUCAUUUAAAUUUCAUUGUAUGCAGCCAUUAUUUCACUCAUUUCAAAAUGUUUAGUGAAUGGUUCCCAAGUGCAAUAAAGACUAAAAAUCUCUUAUCACUCUUGAGUACCGCCAAAUUCCUAGGCAAUAAAUUUUGAUUUGUUUAUGAAUAAU
rnacentral:misc_RNA from 1 species